AUUGAACGCUGGCGGCAUGCCUUACACAUGCAAGUCGAACGGCAGCACGGGUGCUUGCACCUGGUGGCGAGUGGCGAACGGGUGAGUAAUACAUCGGAACAUGUCCUGUAGUGGGGGAUAGCCCGGCGAAAGCCGGAUUAAUACCGCAUACGAUCUACGGAUGAAAGCGGGGGACCUUCGGGCCUCGCGCUAUAGGGUUGGCCGAUGGUUGAUUAGCUAGUUGGUGGGGUAAAGGCCUACCAAGGCGACGAUCAGUAGCUGGUCUGAGAGGACGACCAGCCACACUGGGACUGAGACACGGCCCAGACGCCUACGGGAGGCAGCAGUGGGGAAUUUUGGACAAUGGGCGAAAGCCUGAUCCAGCAAUGCCGCGUGUGUGAAGAAGGCCUUCGGGUUGUAAAGCACUUUUGUCCGGAAAGAAAUCCUUGGCCCUAAUACGGUCGGGGGAUGACGGUACCGGAAGAAUAAGCACCGGCUAACUACGUG
rnacentral:rRNA from 1 species